CCUGCCUGCAGGGCGCGCGCAACGGCUUUGAGCUUGCUCGCUGAUGUUAGCGGCGGACGGGUGAGUAGCACGUAGGUAACCUGCCUUUAAGACCGGGAUAACUCCGGGAAACCGGGGCUAAUACCGGAUGGCAGUUCGAACCGCAUGGUUCAAAUAUAAAAGGUGGCUUCGGCUACCACUUUCAGAUGGGCCCGCGGCGCAUUAGCUAGUUGGUGAGGUAACGGCUCACCAAGGCAACGAUGCGUAGCCGACCUGAGAGGGUGAUCGGCCACACUGGGACUGAGACACGGCCCAGACUCCUACGGGAGGCAGCAGUAGGGAAUCUUCCGCAAUGGACGAAAGUCUGACGGAGCAACGCCGCGUGAGUGAAGAAGGUUUUCGGAUCGUAAAGCUCUGUUGUUAGGGGAGAACAAGUGCCGUUCAAAUAGCGCGGCACCUUGACGGUACCUAACCAGAAAGCCACGGCUAACUACGUGCCAGCAGCCGCGGUAAU
rnacentral:rRNA from 1 species